CUUCUUGGAGGAUCCAGAGGCCUCAGAGGUCGCUGGUCUCUUCUCUACUGCAGGAGUGGACAGCGCUCUCUUUUUAAAGGGCUCUCGCUCUCUCAGCAGAGCUUUAUCCAUCCUACACACACACAUACACACACACACACACAAGACAGUUAAUCAUUGCAUUCGAAAGCGUUUAUACAUGUAUAUAAAUGAACUUAUUUUCAUCAAUGACAUUAUAAAUAGGCUAAUGCUAGCAAUUACACCAGGGCUCAACAUUACUACAUAAAUGCUAUAGCAGGUUGGUGCAAGCCAAAACUAUGAAUCAGUGCAACGAUUGACAAAAAUGAUGACAAAAUAUAACCAUAAAUCAGUGCACUUUACACUAAACUAUCAGCUGAAAAUAUAACCACAACAUCUGCCGAGAUGAUAUACCCUAUUAGUCAAAGGUUUGGACGCAUUUAUUUAUUUUACCAAUAAUAUUACGAAUAACAGUAAAGCCAUAAUCAUAAUCAGCCAGUUCUCAUGCGAUAGAUACGCUGGCUGCUUUUCAUUCGAUAUCUGGCCCAACUAAUUUAUU